CUAGUCCCUAAACCUAACCAAACCCUCCUCCCACCUACAGCCGCCACUGCCAGCCUCAUUUUGAGCGCCACCCAGCUCCCUCCUUGCCAUUUGGCGACUCCCCACCGGCGAGCCGCCACCAGCCGGAGCCCCUGGCCACUCCCAGGCCUCCGUGUCGCCCCCUCCACUCCCCCUUCGCCGCAGCCCGCCGAAGCCCAUCCGGGGCCCAGAUCCCGCAACCGCAGGGCACCAGAGCCGCCCGUCCUUAGCCCCCUCGGCCCGUUGGAUCUGGACCAGUAGGGGGCCCUGGGCGCCUCGACCCCGCGUGCCGCCACCCACCGGCGACCUCGCUAGAGCUGCUCGCUGGAGCAGCAGCAGGCUCCACCAGGCCAGCCCCUCGCCGCGCUUCUCUCUCUUUCCCCUCGUCCUCCCUCUCCCUCAACUCGCUCUCUGUCUCCCAUGCAGGAACCGAACCCCACCAUGGCCACCCGGUGUGCGGCGCAGCCUCGAGCUCCGUCCGUCGCGUCGUCGCCCGGAUCCGGCGAGCCGCAGGCCGGAUCCAUCUGUUCCCCGCCUCCUCCUCCACGCUAGUCCCGCCUCCGCACCGACCCUCGCCGGUCUUCGCGCCAUCUCCGGCCUCCCCUGCUUCCGCAUCAAGCGCUGCUCGCUGCGUUGACCAUGCCCCAGCCUUCGUGGGCUGCGUCCUGCUGCCAGGCCCAGCUGCGCCUCCCAACCAUCCGGCCCAGUUCCAAUGCCAAGGCCCAGCUUGUGUUGCUUCAUCUUGAUAGUUCCGGUUACGUUGUGAUUGUGAGGAUUCGUUGACUAUGUUGGUUCAUCUACUUCAUGGACUCGAUAUUCUUCCGAGUGGGAUUUCAGGCAAAAUGAUCAUUACCCUGGAUACCACUACUGAUGCAGAGCAUCCUUCCAUCAUCCCCAUGGACUCUACACCAAUGCAUCAAGCACCACGUGGACCUAUGACAAGAGCUCGAGCAUGCGCCAUUGAAACCGAGGUGAACUCACUCCUACUCGAGAUAGAUAUGGAGAUGAAUGGAACUUGGUUGCUACCUCACCGAAAUAUGCUAUGUGUCAUUAGGUACGAGGACGAACUCCGACAAGAGGUUAAGGAGUACCCCCAAGGCCUAAGAGAAGGACCCCAAGACCCAAGAGCUGACCGGAAGUGUCAAGAUGAAGAAAAGGAAGCGUGCAAAAAUUGCACUACCGGACAGUCCGGUCCCCACAUCAGACAAUCCGGUCGCACAGAAAUUGCACUACCGGACAGUCCAGUGGCACCCGAAAAUGCAUCUGUCCUCACCGCACUAUCCGGUCCUUACCACCGGACUGUCUGGUAGGCCCAGUUUCACUACAAAUUGGCCUAAAAAGCUCGUGUAACCAUCGAGGCCCAUACCCUUUUGCCCCUAGACUAUAUAUUUCGUUCUCCUCUUAGUUUCUAGAGUUAGCAAAGUAUUUUGAUAGACAAAGAGAGAGCUUUGCUCAUAUUCCUCCUCUUGGAGAUCAAGGCCUCGUCUUGGAGAUCAAGCCCUCCUAUUGGAGAAUGAUUCCCAUCAUAGGAUCAUCAAGACCUCACCUCCCUUAGGAGUGGGAAGAAAUUACCUUACUGCUAUUUUCCUUGGAUUGAUUUUGUAUGCUUGUAGAUCUCUUAUAUGCUACUCUAGUGGAUGUGUGAUUGUGGUUUGUUUGA